rnacentral:rRNA from 1 species
GACGAACGCUGGCGGCGUGCCUAAUACAUGCAAGUCGAACGCUUUUUCUUUCACCGGAGCUUGCUCCAUCGAAAGAAAAAGAGUGGCGAACGGGUGAGUAACACGUGGGUAACCUGCCCAUCAGAAGGGGAUAACACUUGGAAACAGGUGCUAAUACCGUAUAACACUAUUUUCCGCAUGGAAGAAAGUUGAAAGGCGCUUUUGCGUCACUGAUGGAUGGACCCGCGGUGCAUUAGCUAGUUGGUGAGGUAACGGCUCACCAAGGCAACGAUGCAUAGCCGACCUGGGAGGGUGAUCGGCCAAACUGGGACUGAGACACGGCCCAGACUCCUACGGGAGGCAGCAGUAGGGAAUCUGCGGCAAUGGACGAAAGUCUGACCGAGCAACGCCGCGUGAGUGAAGAAGGUUUUCGGAUCGUAAAACUCUGUUGUUAGAGAAGAACAAGGAUGAGAGUAAAAUGUUCAUCCCUUGACGGUAUCUAACCAGAAAGCCACGGCUAACUACGUGCCAGCCGCCGCAGUAA